CAGUAGCCGCGGUAAUACAGAGGGUGCGAGCGUUAAUCGGAUUUACUGGGCGUAAAGCGUGCGUAGGCGGCUUCUUAAGUCGGAUGUGAAAUCCCUGAGCUUAACUUAGGAAUUGCAUUCGAUACUGGGAAGCUAGAGUAUGGGAGAGGAUGGUAGAAUUCCAGGUGUAGCGGUGAAAUGCGUAGAGAUCUGGAGGAAUACCGAUGGCGAAGGCAGCCAUCUGGCCUAAUACUGACGCUGAGGUACGAAAGCAUGGGGAGCAAACAGGAUUAGAUACCCCUGUAGUCCCUGUCUCUUUACA
rnacentral:rRNA from 1 species